rnacentral:rRNA from 1 species
AAAUUAAGACCCGUAUGAAUGGUUAAAUGAAUAUUUAACUGUCUCCUUUAACUAAUCAGUGAAACUGAUCUUUCAGUACAAAAGCUGAAAUAAUAACAUAAGACGAGAAGACCCCGUGGAGCUUAAAACUUUUAACAAAAUAUUAUAAAGCACAUAUUUAUGCCAUAAAGUUUUUAGUUGGGGCGACUUUGGAGCAAAACCCAACCUCCAAGAAAAGGCACCGCCUACACCAAGGCCCACAAGCCAAACUACAAAGACCCAGUAUCAAAUACUGAUCAACGAACCAAGUUACCCCAGGGAUAACAGCGCCAUCUUCUUCAAGAGUUCAUAUCGACAAGAAGGUUUACGACCUCGAUGUUGGAUCAGGACACCCAAAUGGUGCAGCCGCUAUUAAAGGUUCGUUUGUUCAACGAUUAAUAGU